rnacentral:lncRNA from 1 species
UUGGCUAUAUUUUUGGCAGAAGUGCAGACAAGUUGGAGAAUCAAACUCAAUACAAAAUAUACCUUUCUAUAGGAGUCUUCAUCAGUGUACACUCUGCAAAAACAUGGCUGAUAGCAAAGAGAUUGUAUCCAGCAGUGUUUCCUCAUGGACUCCAGAGUUCAUCCGGGAGCUUCUUCCAGCUGCGGAGCGAACGGCUCUUCUCUAUCAUCUCUCUUACCUGUGUCUGGGUGGUUUCCCAAAGCUGGAGCGUCUGAUCAGAGAAAGAGCUCUCGAAACACAGCUACUGUUUAAAUCCUCUGUGGUGGUUCUGCUGGAGUGUGUUAUCACGAGUUCCACCCUGGUUUUCUCCCUGCUCCCGUCGCUGUUGAUGGCUGUUGAACACAAUGAACCCUCUCUGGCUGUGAAGUACCUGGGGGAAAUCAGAGCAAAGAUUAAUGACAUCAUUAUAGCUGUGGAAGACAUUGUGAAGAGGUAUGAUGAACAUAACCAAAGUGUAGCGUCAUGCACCAGUGAUGUGUUUCAAGAAAAGACAGAGACAGAAAAACAACUAACUCAAACAACGGAGGAAAUUAAGAGUCUGGAGGAGGCCGUGGCCAACCUUGAGGAGGAGCUGAGAAAAAGGGCUGAAAACAUAAAUGAAAUACAGAAAACAAUUGAAGAAAAAAACAAUGAGCUGCAGAAUCGCAUCCGAGAUGCUUCUAGCAAAAACAUUGGCUUUGGUAUCCUGACUGCCUUGGUGCCAUUUACUGGAGCCAUUGUUAGCUUUAUUGACGAUGCUGUGACUGGCCCUGGUGAUGCUGCUCAAACUCAAGCUCUCAACGCCGAACUGUCCCGUCUCAUGUCUGAAAAGAGCAGUCUGCAAAAACAAGAGUCCUCAAUCCAAGUCAAACUGACUGAUCUUCAGAUGCAGCUGGCUAAUUGCAAAAUACGGCUGGGUGUGAUUCCCAGUCCCGUUCACCUUGUAGAAGUCCAGAAGUGUCUUUCUCAAAUCCAGCAGAUUCUGGUUCAGCUUCAGAAGUUCUGGGAGAAAGUGGGAUCUCUGCUAGAUACGCUGAAGGAGAAGACCUUUGUUAAUGAGGAUCUCAUUGAGCACCUGAGUGAUCUGAAGCAGGAGUUUGUGACCUCUAUUGAAGAAGCAGAAAAGUGCUGGCAGAGAUUUGGUGAAUGCUGUCAGAGAGCACAAGUCAUCUUCAGUGUUCAGUCUAAAGAUGCAUACAAGUUCCUGGAGAUGAAUCCGUCCUCACUUUCGAAGGAUGAAUGGGACGAGCAGCACAAGUCUAUCAUAGAGAAGCUGAAUCAGAUCAGCCCUCAGGAGAUGCUUAUGAUCUGAGUGAAACACAGAAAACUGAUGCUUCCUUCAUACUUAAUGACAUGCAAUGCUUACAGAUUCUCUCUGACAUUUUUGUAAUACUUUGUAACGUAACAGAACUUUUACAACAGCAGUAAAAAAUAUUUUGAAGGAUCUAAGGAGGAUCCUGCUUUAAGACAGCGUCCAUACAUUUGUGUUGUGUUUUAUUGUCUUUCUAUUCAUUUAUUCUUCAAACAUUUAAUCAUAUAAUCAUUUAUAAUAACCAUUUAUAUACUCAUUUAUUUGAUUAAUUCAUUGAUUCGUUCCUUUUUUUCUAGCCUAUUGUGGUUUAGUCUUAUAAUUUGUGUUGUUUCAAGGGAUAUUUGUCUCCAUGAAUAAGAGAUAAGAUAAUGUCUUUGUUGUUGUGAAGCAGUAGCUUUCCAUUGCUAUGGUUUGUGGUAUUACAUACUUGUUGGAUUUGUGUUGGUCUGAGCAUUUAAACAUAUGCAACUGAGAUUAUUCAAUAAACUCUGCUCCUUUUUUAUCAUCAUCAUCACUUUGUGUCCUGCCUCUGCUCUUCACUGGCUUUACUCAGUCAACUUUUUGGCUGAUAGAAGACUGUAAAUAGAGUUUUGGCUACAAGACAAACCUCAAAGUCUCCUCUCAGUUCUAGAAUAACGUUUGUUUGAAGAUUUGACCAAUCAGAAGAAGGCAGCAGAGGCUAACAUUUCACACAAAGUCGUCAAACUCCAUCCAUGAUUCAUUUAAUUCGAGAUCUUUUCAGUCAUCGUAACACAUUCAGUAACAUAUUACUGAACCUUUUCAACUCUGUAACUCUAUAAAAACACAAUCUAUUAAUACAGAUCCUUAAUUAUGUUUGUGCUGUUUGUUUUCCCGCCAGAAAUGAUGCCACUUCAUGCAGGAUGAUACAGUGCAAUACACUUUAUUUAAGUUUGAUCAUUUAUCCAAUAUAUUCAGAUGCGUGAUGAUGGAAAUGUAAUGUGUAGUUAAAACGACAGAACACCAGUGGCACGUAAAUUAUUGUAAUGGCCUCCUCUGAAAGUAGUUCUGCACUUCUUUUCAAGAUAAAAAAAAUAUAAUUUGCAUGUGAAUGUGUUUAAUCCAAUAAUCCCCAAAAGCAGAACCUUACGUCACAUCGCUACGUAGUGUUUUGGAUCGUUUCAAAGUGUUAAUCUACGUCGAUGUCAAGUCAGCAUUUCUUUUUAUUUUUUAUAACGAUUUAAUCAGAUGAUAGAUAGAUAAGGUAGCUGAUCAAAUACAAGGUGAGAUUUAUAAGGCUUUUCAUAAGACAAAGCUAGUAAUACAAAUGAUGUGUUGUCAUAUUCUUAUUCCAGGAGUAACUGAAUGAUGUUCUAUUAUUUUAGAAUUGAAGGUAUUUCCAACACUUCAUUCCAUUUGUUUGUCCAGGCUAGCAGUGGGCAGAGACGCAGGUUGAUUAUAAAGGAACUUUGUGAGAUCACAAUGAAUGAUAAAUAUAAUCCGCUAAUGGCCAUAUACCUUGCAUAAGCAUCAAAGUUUCGGGAGUGGCAUAUAAAACCCUCAUAAAUGCGGGAUUCAUUUUCGUAUGGGAGAAAAAUAUAAUUUCUCAAAAUGGAUGUUCAAUCAAUGUAAAUGCAGGCUAAUAGAUUAAUAGAUAAAUAUUCGAAUUGUCAUGUCAAAA